AUUGAACGCUGGCGGCAGGCCUAGCACAUGCAAGUCGAGCGGAUGAAGGGAGCUUGCUCCUGGAUUCAGCGGCGGACGGGUGAGUAAUGCCUAGGAAUCUGCCUGGUAGUGGGGGAUAACGUCCGGAAACGGGCGCUAAUACCGCAUACGUCCUGAGGGAGAAAGUGGGGGAUCUUCGGACCUCACGCUAUCAGAUGAGCCUAGGUCGGAUUAGCUAGUUGGUGGGGUAAAGGCCUACCAAGGCGACGAUCCGUAACUGGUCUGAGAGGAUGAUCAGUCACACUGGAACUGAGACACGGUCCAGACUCCUACGGGAGGCAGCAGUGGGGAAUAUUGGACAAUGGGCGAAAGCCUGAUCCAGCCAUGCCGCGUGUGUGAAGAAGGGCUUCGGAUUGUAAAGCACUUUAAGUUGGGAGGAAGGGCAGUAAGUUAAUACCUUGCUGUUUUGACGUUACCAACAGAAUAAGCACCGGCUAACUUCGU
rnacentral:rRNA from 1 species